UGCUCUGUGGCGCAAUUGGUUAGCGCGUCUGACUGUUAACUCGGCUUCGGUCGAGCCCGAAAGCGGAAUUGUCAUCAGGAGGCUGAGAGUUCGAGUCUCUCCGGAGCAG